rnacentral:misc_RNA from 1 species
AAGUCGUAACAAGGUUUCCGUAGGUGAACCUGCGGAAGGAUCAUUCAAUGAAUUUGCAAGUGGGCUUGAUGCUGGUGAAAUGACCUUUCACAUGUGCUCAGCUCCAUUCAAAUCCACUUUACACCUGUGCACUUUCAAAGCUCUGUAGUCCUCCGUAAUGGGAGCCGUGGUCGUUCGCGACCGCUGGGGCUGCACCUUUGCCCAUUAUCACAAACUCUUAUAACAGUUCUGUAGAAUGUCUAAUGAGCCUUAUGGGCUUAACACUAUACAACUUUCAACAACGGAUCUCUUGGCUCUC